UACAGAGGGCUCAAGCGUUGUUCGGAUUCAUUGGGCGUAAAGGGUGCGUAGGCGGCGCGGUAAGUCGGGUGUGAAAUCUUGGAGCUUAACUCCGAAACUGCAUUCGAUACUGCGGUGCUUGAGGACUGGAGAGGAGACUGGAAUUCAUGGUGUAGCAGUGAAAUGCGUAGAGAUCAUGAGGAAGACCAGUGGCGAAGGCGGGUCUCUGGACAGUUCCUGACACUGAGACACGAAGGCCAGGGGAGCAAACGGG
rnacentral:rRNA from 1 species